UUUUACAAGACGUUGGAAGAACGGCGACCUGAUUCUGAAUCUGCAGACAGUUCGGGAGAAAGCAUGGCUGAUCGAAGGAUUCCGCGUAAAAGGGUACCACCCAAUUGCCUUGUUGAUGAAAAUGAGGAAAAUGAUGCCUUGUCAGCAAAGGAAGACAUGAUGGGAGCUUCCUGCAAACCCAAAUAUGAUGAUCUUGUGUCACAGUCUUCCAGUACAGAAGAUGACCUUCAUACAAUACGGAAAAAGAAGACAAAGAGUAGAGGAAAAGUUGAGAGAAAAAAAAAAACAUCACAAAGUUGACUCAUCGUCCUCCUCUGAAUCAACCUCAUUCUCAUCUCAAUCCUCUUUAUCCUCUGCACCCCGAAAAUCCAGCAAAAAUAAGGAUAAAGCCAAGAAAAGGAAUGGGAAAAAAAGCAGAAAUGCACAAGAGUCUUUCUUCCAGAGCAAGCCAUUAAGAGAUACAAGAAGGUCUUGGGCUAUUUGAAAAGUGGAACAACAAAAAUACAGGCGUACUUCAAAUGUGGCGUGGAUAGAAAGACAAUUGUGGAUACUGCUGCAAUUGCAGAGCUCGAAGCAUGUGACAUCGAGGCCUACAAAAAUUUGCGUGGCACCUUCCAAAGAGGACAGAAACUGUCUG